GCUGGGCGUGGUGGUGCACGCCUGUAGUCCUCGCUACUUGGGAGGCUGAGGCAUGAGAAUCGCUUGAACCUGGGAGGUGGAGGUUGCAGUGAGCUGAGAUUGUGCCACUGCACUCCAGCCUGGGUGACAGAGCGAGACUCUGUCUCAU
rnacentral:SRP_RNA from 1 species